GUUCUCUGACCACCUGCCCGUUUGUGCAAUGUUUUUAAUAUUUUUACAUAACCAAAGGAGUUGAGAAGACCGAUUGUGGCUGCUUGCGAGUUUUGACCAGUCAAUUUUGUGGAUGAAAUGCCUUACAUUUUAAAAGACGACAAAUAUGAGACAAAGUACAAGACUGACUUAAAAGAGGGAACUCAAUUUACUAAGGGAAAGGUUUUGGUAACUCGAAGGAUAUGCAUCUUCAAAGGGACUCGACUAUCUUUAAAUUGUGUAGCCACUGUAUCACUAA